UGGGACUCGGGUGGAGGCUCUCCUG
rnacentral:miRNA from 1 species